rnacentral:rRNA from 1 species
AAAUUGAUAAUAUAUAAUUAUUAAUAUUUUUGUUUAUAUUUUUGUUAUUAAAAAUAAUUAUUUUAUUUUGUUUUAGUAUUUUAUAUAAAACUAAUAAUUUUAAUAAUAGUUUAUUAUGUAUUGUGAAAGAAUUUUGAAAUAAUUGAAAAAUAUAUAAUUAAAAAGAAAAAUUAAUUUUUUGUACCUUGUGUAUCAGGGUUUAUUAAAUAAAAAUUUUUUAUUAAAAUUUUCUCGAAAGGGGAUGAUUUAAUUGGAUAUAAUAGUUAAUGUAAUAAAUUUAUUAUUAAUGUUUAAUUAGAAAUGAAAUGUUAUUCGUAUUUCCUGAUAUCUAGUUUUUUAAGAAAUAAAUUUAAUUUAAUUUUUAAUUAUGUAAUGAAUUAUUUGAUAAAUUUAUUAUUAAUUAAAAGUAAUAUUUAAUGGGAUGAGCUAUUAAAUAAAUUAUUAAAAAUUUAUUAAUAUAAGAAUAUUUGUAUGUUUAGAAUUAGCAAUCAUUAAAGAUUUUGUUAUAAAUUAUAUUCUUUAAUAUAUUAUUUAUUUUAUUUUAAUUAUUUUAUUAAAAUUUUAAAUUUAAUAUAAAAAUUUAAUUAAUAAUGAUAAAAUUAGUAUAAUUUUUUGUAAAUUUAAAUUAAAUUGGUAGGUUUUUAUAAGGAAUUCGGCAAAAUUUAUGUUCGCCUGUUUAACAAAAACAUGUCUUUUUGGGUUUAAUUUAAAGUCUAAUCUGCCCACUGAUAAUUAUUUAAGGGCCGCAGUAUUUUGACUGUGCAAAGGUAGCAUAAUCAUUAGUCUUUUAAUUGAGGGCUUGUAUGAAUGAUUGGACGAGAUAUAAGCUGUCUCAUAAAAAUUUAAGUAGAAUUUUAUUUUUUAGUCAAAAAGCUAAAAUAAAUUUAAAAGACGAGAAGACCCUAUAGAUCUUUAUAAUUUACUUUUAAAUUUUUUUAGGUUAUUUUUUAAAUUUAUAAGUUAAAUUAUUUUGUUGGGGUGACAGUGAAAUUUAAUAAACUUUCAUUAUUUUUAUACAUUGAUUUAUGAUUAAUUGAUCCAUUAUUAGUGAUUAAAAAUUUAAGUUACCUUAGGGAUAACAGCGUAAUUAUUUUGGAGAGUUCUUAUCGAUAAAAUAGUUUGCGACCUCGAUGUUGGAUUAAGAUUAAUUCUGGGUGUAGCAGUUCAGUUUAUUAAGUCUGUUCGACUUUU